UAUGGCUGCAGACCCGGAGGCAGCAGAUCUGAGCAGCAGAUCUGAACCGCAGUUCUAGACGUCACAGAGCCCCCUACUGGAUUACUUUAUAACUGCAACUAAAUCAACAGUUCAGAUCGAGACUUCUCGUUUUUUUCCGGCAGCGUGCACUUUUCUCCUUUUCUCAAGAUGGAUGACGACCGGAGUGUACACAUAACAAUCCAGAAAGGAAGGGCCUUGCCCCAACUUCACAGAUGCACAUCAUGCUGCAAUAACUACCACUGUCCAUUCUGCAGCCCUCCAGUUUACUACCCCUCCCCGUUGAACAAAUGUCAGAUACACAUGGAUCUUCAUUUUAACAGAGCUGUUAGCCAUGAAGAAUACACCAUUCACAGAUGUGGACUGGGAUGUCGGCCGCAGCUGCAUUAUCACUGUCCAUACUGCAGUUCAACAAUAAAACGGAAAGACGAUUUUAUUAAACAUAUACAUUGGUGCAAGAAGAAACCAGGUUCCAACCCUACAGUCCCACCAACCACCACCAC